UUUCUCCUUCCCUCUUGAAGGAGAAGCCUUGAGUUGUGCAUCUUCUCUUGAUUUUACUGAGAUCGUGUAGACUUCAAUUGGCAGAGUUACUCAGUAUUAUUUACUUGGAAAAUCCUCUGUAACCUAAAAGUCCUAGCUCUCCUGACACUAAGGAUGACAAUGGAACACUUAAAUGGCCUGUUAUUUGAUGAAGAUGAUAUAAAUAGAAGCAGAGCAGCACAUAGUGUGACCACGAAAGGCCAAAGAGCACAUACUGGAGACCUGAAUGUCAACCAAACUGCAUAAUCCCUGUUUAUCUUCAUUGUAGAAAUUGCCAUAACCAUAGUAUUUGUUUUACUCUGAUGAUCCCAUGGAGUCUCUGCUAUAAGCUACAAGGAAGAUUUUGUGAGUUCAGCCAAGAACGAGAGCUUCGGAGCCUUCAGGAAAAGGCUUGUACUGCAACCUGUUGACUUAUCAAAGCUGAUCUGAUAUUGAUUAGAGCAGGGAUCAGCAAAGGAUGGCCUGCUUCCCCGGAAAGACACUGCCUGUUUUUGUAAAUGUUUUAUUGAAGCACAACAUGUCCACUUACAUUUGUAUUGUCUUUUGUGACUUUUCUUUUGCUAAAAUGGCAGAGCUCAGUAGUUGUGACAGAGAGAAUCUGGCCUGCAAAUUAUUAUUUUUUCUUUUUCUCUUGCCCAUGCUGCAGUGCAGUCACAGCUCACUGCAGCCUUGAACUCCUGGUCUCAAGAGAUCCUCCUGCCUCAGCCUUCUGAGUAGCCAGGAUUGUAGGCACAUGCCAUCAUGCUCAGCUAAUUUUUUAAUUUUUUGUAGAGACUAAAUCUUGCUUUGUUGUCCAGGCUAGUCUUGAACUCCUGGGCUCAAGGUGCUCUCCCACUUCAGCCUCCCAAAGCACCAUUAUUACAGAUGUGAGCCAUUGCUCCUGGCCUGGCCUGCAAAUUCUAAAAUAGUUACUCUCUGAGAUUUUACAGAGAUAAUUUGCUCUCAGAUUCUACCAGUGGAUGGGGCUGGGUUUCUCGUAUUAUUUUAGGUUGAAAACUAGACAGCUUUGUGAAACUGGUAACACAAGAUUCAGCAGCACAAGAAUUAAUUAAAUAUAUCUAAAUGAGCUAAUGAGGAAAUUUUUAUUGUAAUAAUUUGUUUGUUUGAAAUAGUGUUGUUUUGUUUUUCUAUUUUUUGAAUAUAUGAGGAAGUCCUAUCUUUUCUUAAGCCAUUAACAACCCACAGAAGUUUAAUAAACUGCUUUCGUAAACUGAAAAAAAAA
ensembl:lncRNA novel transcript